rnacentral:rRNA from 1 species
AUUGAACGCUGGCGGAAUGCUUUACACAUGCAAGUCGAACGGUAGAGGGGGCAACCCCUUGAGAGUGGCGAACGGGUGAGUAAUAUAUCGGAACGUGCCCAGUCGUGGGGAUAACGUAGCGAAAGUUACGCUAAUACCGCAUACGAUCUAAGGAUGAAAGCGGGGGGAUCGCAAGACCUCGCGCGAUUGGAGCGGCCGAUAUCAGAUUAGGUAGUUGGUGGGGUAAAGCUCACCAAGCCAACGAUCUGUAGCUGGUCUGAGAGGACGACCAGCCACACUGGAACUGAGACACGGCCCAGACUCCUACGGGAGGCAGCAGUGGGGAAUUUGGACAAUUGGGCGCAAGCCUGAUCCAGCAAUGCCGCGUGCAGGAUGAAGGCCUUGGUGUAACUAGCUUUGUUACGG